UCAACCAUGGGGUCAAUUGAAGGCUCAGGUCUCUCUACACAGCCUUCAAAGUCUCUUUCUUGUAAAAUGUUAGGUCAAACUUUCUUCUAGCCCUCGGUGCAGUGACACAAAAGUAUGAGAACUCACAACACCAUGGCAUCCCUGAGCUCCACCUUGCUGACGCCAGAUAGCAUGUAGAAUUAUUAAGCGAAGAUUUCAAAGGCAAACCUCAAAUUAGACCAAAAACGGAUUGAAGUCAGGUCCUUGCACUUGCAAGGCAGGCC